ACGCUUCUGUGUGCUUAUCAUGCAUGUUGUCUGGAAUAUGUUAGCUUGCUAAUAUAUUUAGUAGCAAAUGGGUGAGUAACACGUACCUAACCUACCUUUUGGACCGGGAUAACCAUUGGAAACAGCGGCUAAUACCAGAUACGAUAAAAAAAUGCAUGUUUUUUUAUUAAAAGAAGCCUUUAAAGCUUCACCAAAAAAUGGGGGUGCGCAACAUUAGUUAGUUGGUAGGGUAAAGGCCUACCAAGACGAUGAUGUUUAGCGGGGCCAAGAGGCUGUACCGCCACACUGGGAUUGAGAUACGGCCCAGACUCCUACGGGAGACAGCAGUAAGGAAUAUUCCACAAUGAGCGAAAGCUUGAUGGAGCGACACAGAGUGCAGGAUGAAGUCUUUAGGGAUGUAAACUGCUGUUGUAAGGGAAGAAAAAACUAGAUAGGAAAUGAUUUAGUCUUGACGGUACCUUAUUAGAAAGUGACGGCAAACUAUGUGCCAGCAGCCGCGGUAAU
rnacentral:rRNA from 1 species